ACACAAAUUAGGCAUUAAUUAAUGAGCACCUAAAGCCUUCUGCUGAAUGCACCCCAAGGAGAAGCAAUGCUGAGAGUGCUCAAGUAUACGUGAGGGAAAGAGCAGCUUCAGUUGGAGCCUCAUAAACCAACUAUUUGGUGACCUUGAAAGCCCGACGAAGCGAGUCUUUCUGCUGGUGCUGGGCGGUUAUGGAAAAUCCACACGCCUGGAAACAUAAAUCCCAUGUAAUGGCAAGCCUUGCAUCAGUGUAGCUGCAAGAUUUGGAGGGUGAAGGCUCAGCUCUAACAGCACCAAAGUCAGCAUUGAUUUAAAGGAUGAUGAAUGUAGGCCUGUUGUCCCACAGCCAUCUGCACAGCCCCAUGAUGGGAACAGGCUCCCCAAAAAGCAGAGGACCUGGUGCACUACUGGUGGUGUUUGGACUCUCUCCAGAGUGAACCGACCGCCCAGCACUGCUUCUGAGGAUGAGAAACAAGUCCUUAAAAGAGCAGGAAGAGGGACUUGUGUCAUGGGUGGUGCGUGUCAAGCCAGCGUAAAUCGGGUGGGAGUCCCUCAUAACACAGUAUUAAAAGCCACAGAGCAAUGCUCACCCUGGGGGCUCCAGUGCAGAGUAGUGGGCACACGGGGAAUUCCAGGUUUCACAGCCGGAAUAGUGUUGUACAGGGACCAAGCUUGACAGUUGAGAUUUUCCUUGUAUUUUUACUACAAAGAAAUUCACUAGAGGUUUUAAAGGAUAGAAGUAUGGAAGUUCCUUUUUAUCAUAAA